rnacentral:rRNA from 1 species
AUUGAACGCUGGCGGAAUGCUUUACACAUGCAAGUCGAACGGUAGAGGGGGCAACCCCUUCGAGAGUGGCGAACGGGUGAGUAAUAUAUCGGAACGUGCCCAGUCGUGGGGAUAACGUAGCGAAAGUUACGCUAAUACCGCAUACGAUCUAAGGAUGAAAGCGGGGGAUCGCAAGACCUCGCGCGAUUGGAGCGGCCGAUAUCAGAUUAGGUAGUUGGUGGGGUAAAGGCUCACCAAGCCAACGAUCUGUAGCUGGUCUGAGAGGACGACCAGCCACACUGGAGCUGAGACACGGUCCAGACUCCUACGGGAGGCAGCAGUGGGGAAUUUUGGACAAUGGACGCAAGUCUGAUCCAGCCAUUCCGCGUGCAGGAUGAAGGCCCUCGGGUUGUAAACUGCUUUUGUACGGAACGAAAGGUUUCUAUUAAUACUAGGAGCUCAUGACGGUACCGUAAGAAUAAGCACCGGCUAACUACGU